AGAGAAGCUUGCUUCUCUUGAGAGCGGCGGACGGGUGAGUAAUGCCUAGGAAUCUGCCUGGUAGUGGGGGAUAACGUUCGGAAACGGACGCUAAUACCGCAUACGUCCUACGGGAGAAAGCAGGGGACCUUCGGGCCUUGCGCUAUCAGAUGAGCCUAGGUCGGAUUAGCUAGUUGGUGGGGUAAUGGCUCACCAAGGCGACGAUCCGUAACUGGUCUGAGAGGAUGAUCAGUCACACUGGAACUGAGACACGGUCCAGACUCCUACGGGAGGCAGCAGUGGGGAAUAUUGGACAAUGGGCGAAAGCCUGAUCCAGCCAUGCCGCGUGUGUGAAGAAGGUCUUCGGAUUGUAAAGCACUUUAAGUUGGGAGGAAGGGUUGUAGAUUAAUACUCUGCAAUUUUGACGUUACCGACAGAAUAAGCACCGGCUAACUCUGUGCCAGCAGCCGCGGUAAUACAGAGGGUGCAAGCGUUAAUCGGAAUUACUGGGCGUAAAGCGCGCGUAGGUGGUUUGUUAAGUUGGAUGUGAAAUCCCCGGGCUCAACCUGGGAACUGCAUUCAAAACUGACUGACUAGAGUAUGGUAGAGGGUGGUGGAAUUUCCUGUGUAGCGGUGAAAUGCGUAGAUAUAGGAAGGAACACCAGUGGCGAAG
rnacentral:rRNA from 1 species